UACGGGAGGCAGCAGGGGGGAAUAUUGCACAAUGGGCGAAAGCCUGAUGCAGCUAUGCCGCGUGUAUGAAGAAGGCCUUAGGGUUGUAAAGUACUUUCAUCGGGGAGGAAAAAACAAAACUAAUAAUUUUAUUUCUUGACGUUACCCGAAAAAGAAGCACCGGCUAACUCCGUGCCAGCAGCCGCGGUAAUACGGAGGGUGCAAGCGUUAAUCGGAAUUACUGGGCGUAAAGCGCACGCAGGCGGUCUGUCAAGUCGGAUGUGAAAUCCCCGGGCUUAACCUGGGAACUGCAUUCGAAACUGGCAGGCUAGAGUCUUGUAGAGGGGGGUAGAAUUCCAGGUGUAGCGGUGAAAUGCGUAGAGAUCUGGAGGAUACCGGUGGCGAAGGCGGCCCCUGGACAAAGACUGACGCUCAGGGUGCGAAAGCGUGGGGAGCAAACGAGGGAUUAGAUACCCGU
rnacentral:rRNA from 1 species